ensembl:lncRNA
AAAUUUACUGAAAUUGGAGACAUCUUGGCCACAAGAAAACUGUCUGUCUCUCUCUUGCUCCAAUUUGCCGAGAUAAUCACUCUUGCCAGAUCACCAGAUGCUGUGGGGUCUAUCACAGAGUCCAGGGCUGCCUUACCACAUGGCUUAGCAUUUCCCUUUGGUCUGGGUUCCUUGUCCCCUCCAUCUUCAUUACAAUGAACAGCAGUCUGUGCAGCUUUAGUGUCUUUUAUCUGUGAGGGAAAGCCACCAGUUUAAAGGCAGAAGCCCACCUGGAACUCACAACCCCAGCUCAUUCCUUCCUUGGACAUCUCCUGAAGUGUCAAAGGGCUUCAACUGUUUCUAAUUGGAAAAGCUGGCCAUCGAGCCAGGACUUGGAUUGGCAAGGUUUUCAUGGCUCUUAGCCCAAGGUCAUGUAAGAGGGCUUGUGGAAAGAGAACAGAAGAAAAUCCAGUUCUGUUUCCACUAGGAUGUGCAUGGUGAUCAUCACUGUCGUGGUCCUUGAACUUGUAUCCAAUGGAUCCAGCUGAUGUAGUUUCCAAUAUUGGAGGCUUUUAUUUCCCAGCAAGACGGCACAUGGAGCUUUGCAUACAUCCUGGCAGGAAUAUUUGAUGUGUGUUUCUCUUAGCUCUGCAGCAAAAAUUGCUUAUCAGGAUUCCCCCACCCCGCCGCCCUUUACAGUGGCACAGCUAUGAAAUUCUUUCUACCCUUGAUCUGAGACUUCUUUUGGACUCCCUAAAUGGGUUUCUGUUGGUGCAUGAGUGUGGCUGCUAUGUCCGAAGCCUCACCUGUGUGAUUGCAGUGGCAAGGCAGAGUCUGAUUGAUGACUUGCUUUUCUCAUCUUUGUUGAUUUUGAAACAAUGUGUGAGGGAGGCUUCAGAAACCUACAUGACUAAAUCUCCCCGCCAUGAUGCAGAUGAUCAGAUAGAUUAUAAGACCUUUAGGCCCCCUGUGAAGUCUGGGUUUCUAGGAGAUACAUCAUGAAAGAAAUAUGGGAGGUGGCAGGNNNNNNNNNNNNNNNNCCUGACAUCAUUGAAACCCUUGGGAAGAGCCUCAUUAUUCCUAUUUCAUGAGACCUUGAUGACUUUGCAGAGUUAUAGGAGUUGGGUUGAA